ACGACCUUACUUGAACAGGAUCUGUUCUAUAGGAUCGUACCGCUGCAUCCUUGACUAAUAAGGAGGCAAGCACUUAAGCCUGGUUGAUGAUUCAAGACCUGUGGGCCAGAGCGUGAUUAACGGCCUGGAUUGAGCUUUGAUGCUCCAUCCACGGCUGUAGAGGAUCGUUCCUGGUCAGGCUUGCCUUGCUGGGGUGGCCCUCAGGUUGUCUGACAGGUU
rnacentral:snoRNA from 2 species